rnacentral:rRNA from 1 species
UACGUAGGGGGCGAGCGUUGUCCGGAUUUAUUGGGCGUAAAGCGCUCGCAGGUGGUUCGUCGCGUCGUGCGUGAAAGACCCCGGCUCAACUGGGGAGUGUCGUGCGAUACGGGCGGACUGGAGGCCAGUAGGGGGAUGCGGAAUUCCGGGUGUAGUGGUGGAAUGCGUAGAGAUCCGGAGGAACACCAGCGGCGAAGGCGGCAUCCUGGACUGGUCCUGACACUCAGGAGCGAAAGCGUGGGGAGCGAUCCGG